UGAGGAAUAUUGGUCAAUGGGCGAGAGCCUGAACCAGCCAAGUCGCGUGAAGGAAGACUGCCUUAUGGGUUGUAAACUUCUUUUAUACAGGAAUAAAAAGGCUUACGUGUAGGCCAUUGCAAGUACUGUAUGAAUAAGCAUCGGCUAACUCCGUGCCAGCAGCCGCGGUAAUACGGAGGAUGCGAGCGUUAUCCGGAUUUAUUGGGUUUAAAGGGUGCGCAGGCGGGCUUUUAAGUCAGCGGUGAAAUCUGGACGCUUAACGUCCAAACUGCCGUUGAAACUGGGAGUCUUGAGUAUGGAUGAAGUAGGCGGAAUUCGUUGUGUAGCGGUGACAUGCAUAGAUAUAACGAGGAACUCCGAUUGCGCAGGCAGCUUACUAAGCCAUAACUGACGCUCAUGCACGAAAGCGUGGGGAUCAAACAGGAUUAGAUACCCUGGUAGUCCACGCCGUAAAACGAUGAUUACUAGUUGUAUGCGAUAUGAUAGUAUGUGACUAAGCGAAAGCGAUAAGUAAUCCACCUGGGGGAGUACGCCGGCAACGGUGAAACUCAAAGGAAUUGACGGGGUCAUAGCUG
rnacentral:rRNA from 1 species